rnacentral:rRNA from 1 species
UGGGGAAUAUUGCACAAUGGGCGGAAGCCUGAUGCAGCGACGCCGCGUGGGGGAUGAAGGCCUUCGGGUUGUAAACUCCUUUCGACAGGGACGAAGCUUUUGUGACGGUACCUGUAUAAGAAGCACCGGCUAACUACGUGCCAGCAGCCGCGGUAAUACGUAGGGUGCGAGCGUUGUCCGGAAUUACUGGGCGUAAAGAGCUCGUAGGUGGUUUGUCGCGUCGUCUGUGAAAUUCCGGGGCUUAACUCCGGGCGUGCAGGCGAUACGGGCUGACUUGAGUGCUGAAGGGGAGACUGGAAUUCCUGGUGUAGCGGUGAAAUGCGCAGAUAUCAGGAGGAACACCGAUGGCGAAGGCAGGUCUCUGGGCAGUAACUGACGCUGAGGAGCGAAAGCAUGGGUAGCGAACAGG